UACGAAGGGGGCUAGCGUUGCUCGGAAUCACUGGGCGUAAAGCGCACGUAGGCGGAUUGUUAAGUCAGGGGUGAAAUCCUGGAGCUCAACUCCAGAACUGCCUUUGAUACUGGCGAUCUCGAGUCCGGGAGAGGUGAGUGGAACUGCGAGUGUAGAGGUGAAAAUUCGUAGAUAUUCGCAAGAACACCAGUGGCGAAGGCGGCUCACUGGCC
rnacentral:rRNA from 1 species